GUACACAGUAAAAAAUGCUGGAUUAUUUUCAUAACCCAACUUCUGGGUAAGAGAUGCUGGGUCAUAUGUUGGGUUACUUUGACCCAAUAUUGGUUCAAAAGUAGUGACCCAGCGGUUGGGUUGACUUUUUUUUUUUGUUUUAAUGAACUCCACUUAACUGAUUCUGUUAGGUUUCAGGUUCAGUUGACUCAACACUUUACCCAAUUGGUUGGGUCAAAUACAGUUUGACCCAACCAAUUGGGUAAAAAUCCAUUGCCCUCUUCACAAACCUCCAUUUUCAACUGGACUGUGACCUGAUCAGACAACACUGGAUUUCUCAAUUCAAAUAAAACAUGAUCUGAAAGAUGGAUGAGUUUGUAAAACAGAAGCUGACUGAAUGGAAACUUUCUGACCUAAUCCCUGCUUUUGAAGCUGAAAACAUUGAUGAAGAAAGCUUCUUUCUUUUGGAUGCUAACUGCCUGACAUCCCUGAUUCCUCACCUUGGUCCUCGUCUGAAAUUUCAACGUCAUUUUGCAAAAUUUCUUGAGAACAUCCGUGAGAUCCUCAGUGCCUCCCCUGAAGGUAGACCUGUGGUUAUCAGUCUUGAUGGAAAUCAGCAUAUAUCCACACCUGAUGGAUCAAUAUGGAGAAAAGUGAGUAUUUCUUGUAAAAACUGGAUCAAUUAGGUUGUUUUUGUGACAUUUUGCUCUUGGUGAGAACAUUAACGGCAUUGUGCAGUGCUCACCUAAGUAAAAUUUCUCCAGUAAGAAGUCUUAAAGUAUAUGUUGGGCUAAUAAAAACUGGAUUUUUUGGAAAUUGUUUGUGUUUUAAGGUUUCUGCUCUAUGUUUUCAUCUUACAAUAACUAAUUAAAAUAAAAUAUUUUACUUGCCUGUCUUACUGAGUGUAAUUU